GUUGUGCAGAUAGCAGAUCUAAAAGUCAACAGACGACCACCUCCGAUCACCCCCCUUCCAAUCUCUUACUGACAGUGCUGGAGGGAGGUUUGGUGGCAUGUGACCUGAAUAUUUUUCUUAUAAUUGUGACUGAAUUCUCAGUGUAAUGUACCCUGAAGCAGAGGAGCCCAUUCCUUUGCAGGUUGAAGGCCAUCCAGAAGGAACCGAAUUUUCAAGUGCAAGAGACAGAAAUCAAGAAA